rnacentral:lncRNA from 1 species
GCCUCUCUGCUCCCUGAACGCCGGUCCCGGACCAUGACCCAGCCUCUGCCCAGCAGCCACUCCCCUCCCCACAGCCUUUGCUCCCAGCAGACCUGCCUGCUCUCUGUGCUGCUGCUCACCACGGCCGCGUGCCAUUCCCCUGCCAGGGAGCCUUGGGACGGGACUCCCGUUAGAAGUCUGAUGGCAACACGUGUCUGCCUCCCCCAGAGCAGAUGAACAGAACCUCCUAGAGAGCAACUUUCAAUGCCCCGACCUUCAGCAGAGGAUGAAGAGCAGAUCUCUCCUCCUGCUCCCGGGAGGGUGGGACGGCAAGGCCCUCCCGGUCCAAUGUGACGGCAGGAUUAGCCUAGUGGCUGCUGACACUCUGGGCACUGGGCUUACCUGGCCACCAAGACCUAGUGUGGAAAAAAAAAAAACAAGAAAAACAGAAGAACGAGGCUUGGAAGACUGGCUGUUUGAGGAGAGAGAAGAACAUGCCUCCGGAGGAAGAACGAAUGUUCCUCAAACCAAAUGGGGGUCAGAGGGAGAGGUGUAAAGUACCACUGAGAAGUUCCUCUGGGAGAAGUUCUUUGCAGGGUGUGUACAGAGCCCCUCUUGGAGUCACAUGGAAAGAACUGAUGGCAAAUGAGAGCGGCAUGUCUGACUCUGGCACUGGACCUUGAGAUGGCAUCAUCCAUGCACCUGGAGGCCAGGAAUUCCUGCAGCGUGAUGCCAGUGGGCACAGAUGGAAGGAGGCCCAGGGUGGUGACCCCAGGAACAAGAGGAAGCGGGAAAUGAGCAGGUCUCCUGGGCAGAGAGCCACUUCCCACUUCCUAGGGCAUUGUCCCGGCUGGAGCUGCAGCUGUGGUCUUGCUCUAGUUCUAGGAUGAAGCAAAGCCACGGGGGAAGGUGAGGUAGGAUGGAGAAAGGACUCGGGGUUCCAGUGCACCCCUGAACCGGCACAGCCUCCCGGCCCUCCUGCUGGGAGUUGGGGGAUUGCUUCUAAUGGACAAUGGAUGGACUGUGUCUGAUGUCACCCCAUACACGUGGAACAGGGCAGCUGUCUUGUGUUCCCAGCCUCUGGUAAGCUCCUUGAGGGCACAGACGCUGUCUGGUUCAUCUCUGCACCCCUGACAGUGCCCCGCUGGGUGCCUGGCGCGGUGCCCACUGCUUAGUAGACCCUGGAGUUGUUGGGGAGAAGGCGCUUGGGCCAUGGUAGCAGCAGGUGGAGGCUGGGCUUGUGUCCAGUGUUCAGGAAACUCGGAAACCUCCAAAUGUGUGACCCCGAUGGGAUUUUGAUUUCUUCCCAUCUCUUGAGCCUAAGGCACAAUUGUUGGGAACCUCCAAAACCCACUGCUUAGGGAAAAGCCCGCAUCCAAAUUUCUGCUAAGCAGGAGGGGAAGGUGCCGGGGUGGGUGUGGUCUCGCAGUGCCUGUCCCCUGCUGCUCUGGCUUGCUGCCCUCAUCCCUGUGGCCGCUUCUUCCCCAGCAUCCUCAACAGCACGUGUGCUCACAGCCCGGACCCCGCCCUGAUGGUCUGACUGCACGGCUCCCGCGUCCUGACUUCCUCCCACUCUCCCCUUGUGCGGAGCACCUCUGCCCACGCCCAGUGCCCGGUGCUUGCCCACAGCGGAAGCCCCGCCCUGGAGCUCACCACACCCCAGCCCUGACCCUACAGCAGCCCCCACCAGUGAGUUCUGCCAUUAGAGUCAGAAUGUCUCUUCCCUCUCGUGUGACAGGUUUGCAUGCUACUCAGAAUUUAGUUCUCCAAGGACCCCUGAAUCACAGUCAGGGCCAGGCCCAGAGCAGGCCCAAAGCUGAAGAAGGUGCUCACCCUCAGGGCUCUCAGAGACAAGGGGGAAGAGUCCGGGGGGCUUUUGAGAGGCACCAAGUUCAAGUCUGUGUCGCCCACGCAAGGCUCCUUCUCUCUCCAACCUCUUCACCCCAGGGACUCUGGAAUCCUGCCUUCCACACCCCACAUGGCUAGAACCACUAGUGCAGGAACAUGCAACUCCGCAAUCAGCCUGCCUGCCCCUCACCUGCACACACCUCUGCUGCACCUCCACACUCAGCCUACCUGUGCUCACCUGGGCAGCAGCUCCAUACUCAGCCUGCCUGCCCCUCACCUGCACGCACCUGCUCCUCACCUGUGCUCACCUGGGCUGGAGUUUAGCCUUUCCUUCUGCAGCCUCUGAGGUGUGGAAAGUCACAUUGCUCCUCACAGAGCCCCCAAAACAAGACAGACACAAACCAAAGACAAAAAGCAAAUGUUUGGUUUUUAAACUAGCUUAAUAAUCUGCUCAACUGGCCUCUCCUCUCUGAACUGUGUUGGGGAUCCUGGUGGAAGAACUGAG